CGGCGAGUGAAGCGGUAACAGCUCAAAUUUGAAAUCUGGCCCUUUUAGGGUCCGAGUUGUAAUUUGUAGAAGAUGCUUUGGGUGUGGCUCCGGUCUAAGUUCCUUGGAACAGGACGUCAUAGAGGGUGAGAAUCCCGUAUGUGACUGGCGGCCUUCGCCCGUGUAAAGCUCUUUCGACGAGUCGAGUUGUUUGGGAAUGCAGCUCUAAAUGGGAGGUAUAUUUCUUCUAAAGCUAAAUACUGGCCAGAGACCGAUAGCGCACAAGUAGAGUGAUCGAAAGAUGAAAAGCACUUUGGAAAGAGAGUUAAACAGUACGUGAAAUUGUUGAAAGGGAAGCGCUUGCAACCAGACUUGCAUGCCGUCGAUCAUCGUGGGUUCUCCCGCGUGCACUCGGCGGCGUUCAGGCCAGCAUCGGUUCCGGUGGUUGGAUAAAGGCCUUGGGAAUGUGGCUCCUCUCGGGGAGUGUUAUAGCCCUCGGUGCAAUGCAGCCUACUGGGACCGAGGACCGCGCUUCGGCUAGGAUGCUGGCGUAAUGGUUGUAAGCGACCCGUCUUGAAACACGGACCAAGGAGUCUAACAUCUAUGCGAGUGUUAGGGUGUUAAACCCUUCCGCGAAAUUAACGUGAACGGAGGUACGAACCCUUUAGGGCGCAGUAUCGACCGGUCCUGAUGUCUUCGGAUGGAUCUGAGUAAGAGCAUAGCUGUUGGGACCCGAAAGAUGGUGAACUAUGCCUGAAUAGGGUGAAGCCAGAGGAAACUCUGGUGGAGGCUCGCAGCGGUUCUGACGUGCAAAUCGAUCGUCAAAUUAGGGCAUAGGGGCGAAAGACUAAUCGAACCAUCUAGUAGCUGGUCCUGCAG
rnacentral:rRNA from 1 species